UGAGGAAUCUUGCGCAAUGGGCGAAAGCCUGACGCAGCGACGCCGCGUGGAGGAUGAAGGUCUUCGGAUUGUAAACUCCUGUCGAGUGGGACGAAUGCCGUGAGGGUGAAUACCCCUUGCGGUUGACGGUACCGCUGGAGGAAGCCCCGGCUAACUCCGUGCCAGCAGCCGCGGUAAUACGGAGGGGGCUAGCGUUGUUCGGAAUCAUUGGGCGUAAAGGGCGCGUAGGCGGCCGAUCAAGUCGGAGGUGAAAUCCCUCGGCUCAACUGAGGAAUUGCCUUCGAUACUGUUCGGCUUGAGUCCUGGAGAGGGUAGCGGAAUUCCCGGUGUAGCGGUGAAAUGCGUAGAGACCGGGAAGAACACCAGUGGCGAAGGCGGCUACCUGGACAGGUACUGACGCUGAAGCGCGAAAGCUAGGGGAGCAAACAGGAUUAGAUACCCUGGUAGUCCUAGCUGUAAACGAUGGGCACUUGGUGUUGCGGGUAUCGACCCCUGCAGUGCCGAAGCUAACGCAUUAAGUGCCCCGCCUGGGGAGCACGGUCGCAAGGCUG
rnacentral:rRNA from 1 species